GUCUAGCUCAGCAUUUCGGGGUGCAGUUGCGGCACUCCCUGCUCAGCCUGGCUGUGUGUAUGCUGACCUGAACUGGGAAAGCAUCUUGCACAUCCUGUACCCUGAGCUCUUGAGGUGUUUGCGGGCUCAGAGCCGUGCCAGUCGUUAUGGGAUAGUCACGUCGGAGCAGUACAUAGCAACAGUGCCGGUAAGCACAAAAGCUUCCCGAUUGUUCAGCCAGUUCUGAACAGGAUGGAGAAAUUCCGCCAAGAAUGACCAUGUUGGGUGUAGGUGAUGUGGCACCGCCGCAGCUGCAGCUUACCUGUGCUGGAGGCACUCGACCCCUUGUGCAGGUAUUCUCCUGCGCAAGCCCGGUGAAAGCCCUUGAGGUGAACCCGAGAAGCAGCAGUGGGCCUCUCUAUUCCACCUCCGAUUCCCAAAGAAAGAGGAGGAGCAGUGAGAGAAUUAAAAAUUAGUUCCUCAGGUUGCAAAAUUUCAUAAGGUUACUUGAGAUCGCUCAGCACUUUUUACUGCCUCGGUGCACCAGUACCUUCCCCUCUGUUCCACCCGGGAUGAAUGCACAAGGAAGAUGAAAGAAGUAUUAGCUGCUGAUACAGACUAUGAAGUGCCUGGCAGACUGGGAAGGCUGGCUUAUUCUCGCAGAGAAAAUGACAAGCUAGCAGCUCUUUUCAUGAUCUUUUUACUACGCUAUUCUAAGUGUAAUAAAUUAUAUGUAUAAAUUCAUACAGAGGCUACAGUAAUCUUGCCUGAUGAAAAUCCUGGUGUGCCAAAGGAGGGUUCUGGGAAAUUCCCUCUGACGAGAUUACAGCGAUAUGCACCAAAAUCCUAGGAUAUUCCUCUCCAGAAAUGUUGAUUCCAGAGAAUUAGAUGUCUGACGAAACCCCAACAAUAAGCAUUCGAUAUGCAUCAUCGAUAAGAUAAGUAUGUGUCUCCUAGGAUGUAUAUUGCAAGAGAUUUUCCUCGAACAAGGUGAAUUAUUUACCAGUUUUGGGAAACUAUCAGCAAGAGCGGCAGCAAGAAAGGAAAAACUACAUGAAUAUGCUAAAAGGAUAAGAUCAAUGAUAAGCAAGCAAGAAACCUUCCCCAGCAACCCUCGGAGCUAUGAAAUGUAUAAAAAAGACUCUGUGAAAACUGUCUCUUUGUGAUGCACAGAGGAGUGGAGCCAGAGUGCCUCACCUGACUUACCCAACGCUGUUACCCUGGUUCAGCGGUCGAUCUGAUCUUUGCUUGUGGCAAUUAUCUACACACUGAAAGUGUGCUUAGCCGGUGCCGGUUUAUGUCAUUUACGAUGAAGAGCGGGAGAAUAGGAACACAGGAAGAGUGUAAAGGGUAUUUAUUUCUUUGCAGGUCCUGUCCAUUGUUUCAGGUGAUGAAGGGCUUUUAGAGAUGACAUUGUUCCAAGUCCUAUUCUGGAAGCUAUUUCUGCUCCUACCUUUGACUUGGCGCGGACUGAAGGAAGGCCCGAUUGAAACAGCAGCUUGUGUGUCCCUGCUUUGCAGAAAGGACACCCGGCUGUGAACAGCUCCUGCCUCUACAUCGCCUCUCUCGUUUAUCGCAUAAAGACACUACCCGCAGAACGCUGGUGCCAUUUUUACCGCAGCUUUCUCACAUUUUUUUCACUUUUCCCUUCCAGUUAGGGUUCGCGGGCCAUGCCCCGCUGUCCCCGGCAAUGAAGCUCGGAGCACCAGGCCGUGAUGGCUCCCGGGCCGUCCUGGCACAGCCUGCCGGCCGUGCUGGCGCAGUCUCUGGGCUGGCUCUGCCUCCCGAUGCCAUCGCUGCCGGAGCUCCAGUGCCGCUCCUUCCCCUCCUCACGCCGCGUGUGUGUCCGUCUGCGCUGGCGGUGGGGCUGUGGGCAGCGGCGGGCAGCUCCCUUGGCCGGGCGGGGAGGGUCGGUGUGAGGAGCGGCGUGAGGGACGGAGCGAAGCGAGCGGGGCCGGCAUGGAACUCCUCGCCGCUUAUUGCGCGCUGCCUCUCCUUGCUGCUCUGCUCUGCCGCGCCGGGAGGUGAUGCCAUCUUUUUUGCAUCGUGUCCUGGUCCUAGUAGUUUUGGAAGAUCUCAGCACGUCUUCAAGGCUAAUUGCAAACAAAUAUGAGUUGAUGAGAGACACUUUUGCCAUUGGCAUGUGGGACGCUGAGAAGUAAUGCGUUGUGCCCAGAAAAUCUGUGGCAUUCCUGUGGAACCAAACCCGCCUCUCCUCUGUGUAGCUCUCGGGGGUGCAGAUAAGGGGGCUGCUGGGACAAGUACAAGCUGAGCGAUUUUGCCGCCUGCUGGGACCAUGCCGGGAGGCUGUGGAGUCUAAGCCAUGAUUUUUAUUUCCCCAGCGGUGUUAGAGUCAAUAGCUCCCGCUAAAACAAACACUCCUGUUACCGAGGUAGAAGAUCGACCUAAAAGCAAAGCGUGGUACCCCGGUGGCAAAGGUCCGCAAAUUGCUGCGGGGAGACAAAAUGCUGAGCUGUCGGUCAGCGUUACUGUGUUACUGGUUGCUCCGUCCGGUCCGGCGCUUCCUGGAGUGGCUGCACGAAGUUCUGCGAUGGAGCGGGCGGUGGGGCCGGGGCCGGCUGGAAGCUGAAGGUUGGCUCUUGCAGCUGCCGCAGGGUAGGCUGCGGGACUUGUCCUCACACGUUGCUGUCCCGCGCUGCGAGAUGAGUUUCCCUGUAAAGGCUGGCCAUCUUUGUGAAAUUUAGAGCGACAGGAAUCAGCAAAACUGCAUCUAGGGUUCUUGUGGAGCCUGUUUGAUGUUUAUGAAGGAUUGUUGCGGGGUUUUGGCAUCAGGCGCUUUAAGAAAUGCAGAACGGGCUGCCUCCGUGAUCCCUUCCAGGGCUUCUCUCGGCCUGGCCAUUAGGAUCGGGAAUGCAAGGAUCCUUGAGGCAUCUUGCACCGUUCCUGUGGAAGAAUAUUCAGUGUCUGUGACGGAGGCUUUGUUCCUGUGAAUAUUUGCAAGGACCCAUCUGAAGAAAUGAGUAGAUGUGUUUUCAGAAGUUCAGCUGCUGAGUAGGCUGGGGAACAAAGGUGCACAUCUGAGCAAUGCCCUCAAGCACCUGAUUUUCAAGGAAACCAUUCAGAAAAAUCACUCUACAAAGUCAGAUUUGUGAAGCUGCUGGAGCCUUUCUAGGACCUGAAAGGAAGGUAUC